UUCCCUACUCUUAGUGGCAGACGGGUGAGUAACGUGUGGGUAUCUACCCUUUGGCCUGGAAUAACACGAGGAAACUUGUGCUAAUACCGGAUAAGUCUUUACGGAGAAAGCUUUAUGCACCAUUGGAUGAGCCCGCACUUGAUUAGUUUGUUGGUAGGGUAAUGGCCUACCAAGACUAUGAUCAAUAGCUGAUUUGAGAGGAUGAUCAGCCACAUUGGGACUGAGACACGGCCCAAACUCCUACGGGAGGCAGCAGUGGGGAAUCUUGCACAAUGGAGGAAACUCUGAUGCAGCGAUGCCGCGUGAGUGAAGAAGGCCCUUGGGUUGUAAAGCUCUUUCGUCGGGGAAGAAAAUGACUGUACCCGAAUAAGAAGGUCCGGCUAACUUCGUGCCAGCAGCCGCGGUAAUACGAAGGGACCUAGCGUAGUUCGGAAUUACUGGGCUUAAAGAGUUCGUAGGUGGUUGAAAAAGUUGGUGGUGAAAUCCCAGAGCUUAACUCUGGAACUGCCAUCAAAACUUUUCAGCUAGAGUAUGAUAGAGGAAAGCAGAAUUUCUAGUGUAGAGGUGAAAUUCGUAGAUAUUAGAAAGAAUACCAAUUGCGAAGGCAGCUUUCUGGAUCAUUACUGACACUGAGGAACGAAAGCAUGGGUAGCGAAGAGGAUUAGAUACCCUCGUAGUCCAUGCCGUAAACGAUGUGUGUUAGACGUUGGAAAUUUAUUUUCAGUGUCGCAGGGAAACCGAUAAACACACCGCCUGGGGAGUACGACCGCAAGGUUAAAACUCAAAUGAAUUGACGGGGACCCGCACAAGUAGUGGAGCAUGUGGUUUAAUUCGAAGAUACGCGCAGAACCUUACCAACACUUGACAUGUUCGUCGCGACUCUAAGAGAUUAGAGUUUUCGGUUCGGCCGGACGAAACACAGGUGCUGCAUGGCUGUCGUCAGCUCGUGUCGUGAGAUGUUGGGUUAAGUCCCGCAACGAGCGCAACCCUCACUUUUAGUUGCCAUCAUUAAGUUGGGCACUCUGAAAGAACUGCCAGUGAUAAGCUGGAGGAAGGUGGGGAUGACGUCAAGUCCUCAUGGCCCUUACGUGUUGGGCUACACACGUGCUACAAUGGCAUCUACAACAGGAAGCAAAACGGCAACGUUAAGCAAAUCCCGAAAAGAUGCCUCAGUUCGGAUUGCACUCUGCAACUCGAGUGCAUGAAGCUGGAAUUACUAGUAAUCGUGGAUCAGCGUGCCACGGUGAAUACGUUCCCGGGUCUUGUACUCACCGCC
rnacentral:rRNA from 1 species